rnacentral:ribozyme from 13 species
AAGAAAAGAAAAGAGAGAAAGAAAAGAGAGACAAGAAAGAGAAAAGAAAGAAAAAAAUGUCAUCAACUCAUUUCCUCUUCUUUCUCAUUCUCUUUUUGAUUGAGCUUGCUUCUUUCUCUCUCACUCCCCCUCAUAAAGAAGAAGAAAGUGUAUCCCCUUUCCUAAGAAAAGG